ensembl:snRNA U6 U6 spliceosomal RNA
GUGCUCACCAGAGCAGCACAUAGACUCAAACCGGAAAGAUACAGAGAUCAGUAUGGCGCUUGCACACGGAUGGCAGGCAAAUGCACGAAGCGUUCCGUAUUUUG